AUUGAACGCUGGCGGCAUGCUUUACACAUGCAAGUCGAACGGCAGCGCGGGGGCAACCCUGGCGGCGAGUGGCGAACGGGUGAGUAAUGUAUCGGAACGUAUCCUGUAAUGGGGGAUAACCAGUCGAAAGAUUGGGUAAUACCGCAUACGCACGAGAGUGGAAAGUAGGGGAUCGCAAGACCUUACGUUAUAGGAGCGGCCGAUAUCUGAUUAGCUAGUUGGUGGGGUAAAGGCCUACCAAGGCGACGAUCAGUAGCUGGUCUGAGAGGACGACCAGCCACACUGGGACUGAGACACGGCCCAGACUCCUACGGGAGGCAGCAGUGGGGAAUUUUGGACAAUGGGCGAAAGCCUGAUCCAGCCAUGCCGCGUGCAGGAAGAAGGCCUUCGGUUGUAAACUGCUUUAGUCUAGGAAAAGGGGUAGACGAGGUUAAUACCCUACGUGCUUUGAUGGUACUGGAAGAAUAAGACACCGGCUAACUACGUGCCAGCAGCCGCGGUAAG
rnacentral:rRNA from 1 species